GGUUCGAUGGCGUAGUUGGUUAUCGCAUCUGUCUAACACACAAAUUGGCUGCUUAUACGGCCAAUCCUGUGCACACAGAAGGUCCUCAGUUCGAGCCUGGGUCGAAUCA
rnacentral:tRNA from 1 species